UACAGAGGUCCCAAGCGUUACUGAGAAUCACUGGGUUUAAAGGGUGCGUAGGUGGUCCGUUAAGUCAGUUUGUGAAAUCCCCCGGGCUCAACCCGGGAACUGCUUCUGAUACUGGCGGACUUGAGGCCAGUAGGGGUCACUAGAACUGACGGUGGAGCGGUGAAAUGCGUAGAUAUCGUCAGGAAUGCCGGUGGUGAAGACGGGUGACUGGGCUGGUCCUGACACUGAGGCACGAAAGCGUGGGGAGCGAACGGG
rnacentral:rRNA from 1 species